GAAUGCUGACAUAAGUAACGAUAAAGCGGGUGAAAAGCCCGCUCGCCGGAAGACCAAGGGUUCCUGUCCAACGUUAAUCGGGGCAGGGUGAGUCGACCCCUAAGGCGAGGCCGAAAGGCGUAGUCGAUGGGAAACAGGUUAAUAUUCCUGUACUUGGUGUUACUGCGAAGGGGGGACGGAGAAGGCUAUGUUGGCCGGGCGACGGUUGUCCCGGUUUAAGCGUGUAGGCUGGUUUUCCAGGCAAAUCCGGAAAAUCAAGGCUGAGGCGUGAUGACGAGGCACUACGGUGCUGAAGCGACAAAUGCCCUGCUUCCAGGAAAAGCCUCUAAGCAUCAGGUAACAUCAAAUCGUACCCCAAACCGACACAGGUGGUCAGGUAGAGAAUACCAAGGCGCUUGAGAGAACUCGGGUGAAGGAACUAGGCAAAAUGGUGCCGUAACUUCGGGAGAAGGCACGCUGAUAUGUAGGUGAAGCGACUUGCUCGUGGAGCUGAAAUCAGUCGAAGAUACCAGCUGGCUGCAACUGUUUAUUAAAAACACAGCACUGUGCAAACACGAAAGUGGACGUAUACGGUGUGACGCCUGCCCGGUGCCGGAAGGUUAAUUGAUGGGGUUAGCGGUAACGCGAAGCUCUUGAUCGAAGCCCCGGUAAACGGCGGCCGUAACUAUAACGGUCCUAAGGUAGCGAAAUUCCUUGUCGGGUAAGUUCCGACCUGCACGAAUGGCGUAAUGAUGGCCAGGCUGUCUCCACCCGAGACUCAGUGAAAUUGAACUCGCUGUGAAGAUGCAGUGUACCCGCGGCAAGACGGAAAGACCCCGUGAACCUUUACUAUAGCUUGACACUGAACAUUGAGCCUUGAUGUGUAGGAUAGGUGGGAGGCUUUGAAGUGUGGACGCCAGUCUGCAUGGAGCCGACCUUGAAAUACCACCCUUUAAUGUUUGAUGUUCUAACGUGGGCCCCUUACCGGGGUUGCGGACAGUGUCUGGUGGGUAGUUUGACUGGGGCGGUCUCCUCCUAAAGAGUAACGGAGGAGCACGAAGGUUGGCUAAUCCUGGUCGGACAUCAGGAGGUUAGUGCAAUGGCAUAAGCCAGCUUGACUGCGAGCGUGACGGCGCGAGCAGGUGCGAAAGCAGGUCAUAGUGAUCCGGUGGUUCUGAAUGGAAGGGCCAUCGCUCAACGGAUAAAAGGUACUCCGGGGAUAACAGGCUGAUACCGCCCAAGAGUUCAUAUCGACGGCGGUGUUUGGCACCUCGAUGUCGGCUCAUCACAUCCUGGGGCUGAAGUAGGUCCCAAGGGUAUGGCUGUUCGCCAUUUAAAGUGGUACGCGAGCUGGGUUUAGAACGUCGUGAGACAGUUCGGUCCCUAUCUGCCGUGGGCGCUGGAGAACUGAGGGGGGCUGCUCCUAGUACGAGAGGACCGGAGUGGACGCAUCA
rnacentral:rRNA from 1 species